GGCUGGCUAAAGAUUUCAGUAUUGCUUUUCAGUUUUUUAAAAACUGACAUUUUACACCAACGUUUUUCACAGCGGAACAAUACAAACCUUGGUAAGUCAAAAUAAAUGAUGCUUGAUUCCCAUAGACAGUACUUCAAGAUGUGCUGGAAUAGACUUGGCAAAGCAGACUGGGUUAACAUCAAGUGACAGCCAGGGACGAUAAUCCACACCUUCAAGAAAGAUAGCACCAGCUGUGGGGUUUUUGUCAUGGAGAUGGCCAAGAUGACGGUGAUGGAAUUUCCCAACAUACCAAAGUACUUCCACGUUGAAUCAUCUAAAAGGUGCAUUAAAACACUCAGACAAGACAUGGCAGAAUAAUUUUUCAUAGGAUCAGAUUCAAGGUAUAUGUUCUGCUCCUUCUGUGGAAAUGGGGACCUGCUCCAUCCUGUCAUUGCUGCCCUUUGGGUGAAACAAAAAGGUUUAAUAGAUUAAUAUAAUCAAUUUUAACUUAAUAAACAAUAAUACGUUAACUGCAGUGCCUAACAAUAUUUUAUUCUCUAUGAAUAUCUUCAUAUCAAAAGUUUUACAAAGAUAAACAUGUUUAUCCCCAUGCUGUAGAUACAGUGUGAAACCUGUGAGUGAUGGUUCCACACUGAAUGCAUUGAGAUGACACCAGGACAGACGCCAAAGACACCCCUUGGUACUGUGUGUUGUGCAAUAACUAGAGAGUCUCUAAGUAACGUUUGCUGACUGUAACCAAAUACUGAAUUAUUUAUGUUUGAGAGUGUGGGAAAUAAAAUGUGUUAAAACUCAAAGAUUAACAGUAUGAGAAUAUGAAUAUUGCAUGUUUGGGGGCAUGCUAUAUUGUGUGGCCUUUAUGGUUUU